rnacentral:tRNA from 1 species
UUGUGAUAAUUGGUAGUUAGACGGUCUUGAAAACCGUUGGUCAGAAAUGGCUUGUAGGUUCAAGUCCUCUAGUGUACGCCA